UCUGUUGCUGAAACCGUAGUAAUGAUUUCUUAUUCUGUUUUCUCAUCUCUUGUAGAUUGAAUGGAUCCUCUGGAUUUCUUUGUUGUGCGAUUCCAUUUCAAUGGUGCAUUUGUGCGUGAGGGUCAAAAUUUGGAAUAUGUUGGAGGCAGCGAGGAAAUUGCUCAUGUUGAGCGGCGCAGUUUGUCCUUACGCACUCUCAUUCUAAAUCUGAAAGUGCAUUACAGUGUCGCUCGACAAGGAGUAAUCAUGAUGCUGCAUUGGUUAUAUCCUGGAAAACAAUUGUCUGAUGGAUUGAUGGCAUUAGUUGAUGAAAAUUCCGUGAAGUACAUGCUCUCAUAUGAAACAGAUGGAGGUGUAGUGGACAUAUAUGUUGAGGACAUUAGUAGUAAUGAGCCAGAACAACAAAGUUAUAGGGAUGAUGAAGUACCCGCUGGCGGUGAUGAGAAUUCAAAGCAAAGUUUUGGGGAUGAUGAAGUACCUGCUGGUGGUAAAGAGGAAUCAAAUCAAAGUGAUGCUGUUGAUGGCAAUGGUACCGAUUCUUCAUCCGGUAGUGACUUUGUGUUAUCGGAUUGCUCAACAUCCGAUGAUGAGGUGGAGGAGAUUAGGCAGAAGUACAAGGAUUUCAAGAGCAAGAGCAAGGGCAAGGGCAAGGACAUCACUGCUAUAGAGAAGGCCAUUGCACCUCCGACAAAAAAAAAGAUAGUAGCUGACUCAAGUUAUGAAGAUGAUGAAUCAUAUGAUGAAGAUAGUGAUGGUCAGCUUGUUGUUCAUGAGUCCGAGUUUCCAAAGUAUUCGAGUCAGGCUGAGGUGAAGAAAUUCAGUUUGGGAAUGAAGUUUAGUGGAAAGAAACAGUUCAAAGAGGCAAUAGUGGACUAUGGUCUUAGGAAGAGGAAGGAAAUAAAAUUCAUUAAGGAUGAGGGUGACAGGGUGAGAGCAAGGUGCACUUGGCCAACUUGCAAAUGGGUUUGUUUAGCGAGGAAGACUAGCAAGUUUGAAAGCUGGCAGAUUACUUCUUUCAUUGAUGAGCACACAUGCCCAAAGAGGAGAGACAACAAGUUGGUGACAUGCACCAGAAUAGCCAACAAGUUUGAGAAUUUGAUCAAGUCAAACACUGACUGGUCAGUCCAAAAUUUGAAGGCCACGGUGCAGGAGGAGAUGUUUGCUAAUGUACACAUAUCGAAGAUCAAGAGAGCUAAGGCAAUUGUCUCAAAAAGGAUUCAAGAGUCAAAAUUGGGUGAAUAUAGCCAAGUCUUCGAUUAUCAGCUAGAGCUUCUUAGAAGCAAUCCUGGUUCUACUUGCAUAGUGAUGCUUGUAAGAAAGGUUUUCUGGCUGGAUGCAGAAAAGUCAUAGGUUUGGAUGGAUGUUUCUUGAAGGGGAGAGGAGGAGAGGUGUUGAGUGCAAUUGGAAGAGAUGCAAACCAUCAGAUGUAUCCGAUAGCGUGGGCACUUGUAGACAAAGAGACCAAUGAAACCUGGGAUUGGUUUGUUAGCCUGUUGUGCUCAGACUUAAAACUUGGAGAUGGAUCGGACUAUGUUAUUAUUUCUGAUCAGCAGAAAGGUAUUCUCAAGGCUGUUGAAAAUUGGCUACCAAGAGCAGAGCAUAGGAAUUGCGCAAGGCACUUGUAUGCAAACUGGAGGAAGACCUACAGAGAGAAGGAAUGGCAGAAGCUAUUUUGGGCAUGUGCAAAAGCUAGUUCUCCAAUGCUUUUCAAUCUUGCAAGAGCGAAGUUAGCACAAGAGACUGUUGAAGGGGCAAGGGAUGUGAUGAAAACUGACCCACACCAUUGGAGCAGGGCUUGGUUCAGAUUGGGCUCUAAUUGUGACUCGGUAGACAGCAACAUUUGCGAGUCUUUUAAUAAGUGGAUCGUGGAGCCUCGCUGUUUGCCAGCAAUCAGCAUGUUUGAAGCCAUUAGGGUGAAGAUAAUGGCUAGGAUAGAAUAUCAAAGAACCGAGUCGGACAAGUGGACCGGCACCAUUUGUCCCACGGUACUUAGAAAACUGAAGAAAAGCAUAAAUGCCUCUGCCUAUUGUCAUGCUGUUUGGAAUGGUGAAGAUUUAUAUGAGGUGACUCAUAGAGAACAUAGGUUCCAAGUGAAUCUAGAAGAGUGGACAUGUAGUUGUAGAUAUUGGCAACUAUCUGGUCUUCCAUGCCCUCAUGCUAUAUCAUGCAUUUUUUUCAAAACCAACAACAUAGAUGAUUACAUUGACAAGUGCUAUAGCAUAGAAGCAUUCAAGAAAACUUAUGCUUUUUGCCUUCAACCUGUGGAAGGCAGACCUGCAUGGCCUGUGUCUGAGAGGCCAAGACCUAAUCCACCAGGGGAGAUUACGAUGCCCGGUAGGAAGAAAAAGCAAAGGACCAGAGAGCAACAAGAGAAGCCAAGGUGUGCCACUAGGGUUUCUAAGAGAGGUACAAAGAUAAGAUGCAGCAUGUGCAAGCUACAUGGGCACAACAGGACAUCAUGCAAAGCAAGAAAUGGCACAGGGAGUUCAAAUACACCAACUCCUAAGCAAGGCCAAGGUCCUGCUAGAAGCAAAGCACCAUCAGCUGCUUCCAAACAGCCUGCUACAAGCCAAACUGCAACAAGUAGCCAAGCACCAUGUGCUAGUCAAGGGCCAGAUAUGCCUUCACGCCAGAGCAGCACUAGGCAGAGCAAACGGAAGGCCACUGAGGAAGUGGCUGCACCUAACCCAAAGAGAAGGGCGCCAACUGGAAGCAGCAGCAGGUCCAACAAUUUCUCCGGAAAUACAAUUAAUGUGCAAAGAAGCUCCAAUGUCAAUGUUAAUGUAUCUACCGGCAAUUCUAGCGCUAGAGCUAGCAGCAGAGUUGUCAAGCACACAAAGAAGUAUGCGGGGUUUCGAAGGCUGCUUGGACUUCAAUCAUGAAUCAGCUAGCAACAUCGCUGCUUGCCAGAAAUGCAUUAUGUAUUGUGUGAGACAUCUAUGUGUUGUGUGUGAGACCUCAUCUAUGUAUUGUGUGUGAGACAUCUAUGUUUUCUAUUU